CAACACCCUGGCUAACCAGAAGUCCUGCGUCUGUCCACGUGAUAAGUUCACUAUAAUUAUAACCAGCAUUUGAGAAAGUCAAUACUCUAAGUCUAUCUACAACCAAGGAAUCUUGCAGAGUUUGCAUCACUCCCCUCCCACUUCUGUCAGAGAUGGUGCUGGUAUUCACUGCUGGGAGUCUUGAAGACAGAAUCGAAGCCAUCAAGCUACAGAUGGUCUUAUAAGUGGAACCCCAAAUGAGCUCAACUAACAACUUCUACCGAGGACCUCUGGACCAACCUGCUGGCUCUUUCACUGGCCUAAAGAGUUCCCCUCUGGAGGACACUACAACUGCAGGGCCCCUUCUUCUCCCCUAUCCAGCAGGAAGUAGCUAGAGUGGUCAUUGCCCAAUUCCCACAGCAGUUGCAGUGUCCUGUUUAGAGGGGGGAUUGAGAGGUGAAGCUAGCUGGGCUUUUGGGUUGGGUGGGGACUUGGAGAACUUUUCUGUCUAGCUAAAGGAUUACAAACACACCAAACAGCACUCUGUGUCUAGCUAAAGGUCUGUAAACGCACCAAUCAGCACUCUGUAAAAAUGCACCUAUAAUCGCUCCUUGUCUAGCUAAAGGUUUGUAAACGCACCAAUCAGCAAUCUGUAAAAAUGCACCAAUCAGCACUCUGUAAAACGGACCAAUCAGCACUCUGUAAAAUGGACCAAUCAGCGCUCUGUAAAAUGGACCAAUCAGCAGGACAUGGGCGAGGCCAAACAAGGAAAUAAAAGCUGGCCACUUGAGCCAGCAGCGAUAACCCA
rnacentral:lncRNA from 1 species